UUUACUAUACACAUGGUACGGUACGUUAACAACUACAAAUUACUUCAGAUUUAUAAAACGAUUCGGACUUGCUGACGGAAAAUUGGGUGACGUACUAGGAACGCGUCAACAGUUCACAAAUAUAACAGAAAAGACACAUCCAUCUUCAUGAUUCUUGAAAGGAAGGCUAGCCAACAAUCAAUAAAGAAGCGCUUUAACAAACAAGAUAAUGAGAAUCAGAAGGAGAAUAUCAGAGAAAUGAAACUGCUGCAUUGGUAACAGAUGUAUUUAUAGAAGCUGUCUCAUCGAUAUCACGAACUCAUCAUAGGCUGAUUAUGAGAAUGGACCUUUUCGGAGAGAGUGGUUUACAUUGGGGUGUUUACUGCUUAAACACAAUAACGUCCAAGGGACAGGGCUAGCAAAGUUUGCGUUCACAUGUACCGACAUCCAGUCGAUUUGUCAGCUUUUAUUUAUCACCAUAGCAACCGUCAACUUAUCCAGCGUUUUGUCGUCCGAUGACUUGCUUUAGAUUGAUAUGUUUCACAGCUCAAUAAAGUGUUUAGUAAUAGAUUUAAAUAUAGGCCUAACACACUUGAAUGAUUGAUCGAUCUACGUAGCCUAAGUCAAUUUCAUUAAUAUAUAUUGCUUGUUGCAUAAAUCUCAUCUGAAGCAGUGUAUGGUUUAUUUUGAACAAUAUACGACGCUAAGAAUAGGAUACUAGUAUAACUCUCUAAAAAUUAUCUUCGUUGAGGUUUUAGACCAUUGUGAUGAUUUCCAUUGAUGUUACCAUAGUUAAUGGGGAAAUAAUAUUCACUUUUUAUAAAUUCAUGGUAACUUUGUUUUGCUUGUCAAUAGAUGGGAAUUUGUGUUAGUAAAUUAACUAUUCUUUUAGCUUAUGAACUAGGCCCUAUGUGAUACGUGUUAUGUGUGUUAAUGUGUUACGGUCAGAUCAUGAUAUGUUUUAGUACUGUAUAUGAUACAAUAUGAUUAUGUAUAGUAGGCCUAUGUGUUAGAAUGGUGGUAAUUCUACUAAUUAAUGCUAACCGACGGCAUUAGGCUAUAUGGCGUCAGAAUAGGCCUACAAUUUAAACCAGAAUUAGGUACCGUACAAUAUAUUUGUAGAAAUCGAAUACGAUGGGUGCAAUUACGGUACGUGUCUCGUGUUAAGAUUCAAAAUGUCGUUAAUGCUAUAUUCUGGUGUUAAUGCGCUUAAUACUUCACGAAUCGGGUCACAUAGCAGAUAUAUAGGAUUCGUCUCUGAACCUAUAUCAGAAGACGUUACCAUAGGAACGAUGAUGCUUGUUUCUCUUCCCAGCGAAUAGAAUCGUUUGGUAUUAGUUUUAAAGUUCCCCCUGACGAUUGAGUUGCUAAGCGACACAAUCGCAGCAGACCGGACAAUUACUAUGACUGUACAGUGUGUGCGUCACAGCGCACCUGAAUGCGCUGUAUUCCCGUUUAAUGACUUAUGAAAUAGGCCUCACUGCUUGCAGCAUUUCUUAAUAUCCACAUAAUAUUUUCUGCGGGUUAAACUUUGUGAGACAGUGCACUUUCGAAUACCAUUCUCUGGAUUUAUGCUUAUUCUAGUUUUUGAAAACAAAUCAAAAUGUAACGGUCAAUGCCAUUAUUUUGUUGUGCGGAAUGUAACAACAAACAAUCGUGUACUGUGCGUACAAAAAAAGUAUCCCCUAAAACACUCAAAUGUGCACAUAGACAUUGUAGAAAACAACACAUAUAAUGAUCAUUAUAAAUUGCUGCAUAAGUGUACCUGAUAACACGUUGGCUAAUUUAUCUGUCAUGUAGGCCUAGUACUCUAGCUUUCACUAAAAACAGGUUCUCUUCCCCAUCCCCGCAAGCACGACUUGCUAAAAUAAAUCUCUCCCCACGCAGUCCGUGUACCACUCUAACUCUUUGUCUUAUUCUGCGUGGGCACACGCAAAACAACGAUGAUUACCGUUAGUUUUCGUGUAGUUACAACUUAAUCUGAUUUACCUUGAAUACUGCAACGUAUUUUAGUUCGUAUGCGCAA